AUUGAACGCUGGCGGCAUGCUUUACACAUGCAAGUCGGACGGCAGCACAGAGAAGCUUGCUUCUUGGGUGGCGAGUGGCGAACGGGUGAGUAAUAUAUCGGAACGUACCGAGUAAUGGGGGAUAACUAAUCGAAAGAUUAGCUAAUACCGCAUAUUCUCUGAGGAGGAAAGCAGGGGACCUUCGGGCCUUGCGUUAUUCGAGCGGCCGAUAUCUGAUUAGCUAGUUGGUGGGGUAAAGGCCUACCAAGGCGACGAUCAGUAGCGGGUCUGAGAGGAUGAUCCGCCACACUGGGACUGAGACACGGCCCAGACUCCUACGGGAGGCAGCAGUGGGGAAUUUUGGACAAUGGGCGCAAGCCUGAUCCAGCCAUGCCGCGUGUCUGAAGAAGGCCUUCGGGUUGUAAAGGACCUUUGUCAGGGAAGAAAAGGCUGUUGCUAAUACCGACAGCUGAUGACGGUACCUGAAGAAUAAGCACCGGCUAACUACGUG
rnacentral:rRNA from 1 species